GAAUUUCACAGUCUUUUGGUAGCAGUCGUGCAGUUCGUUUCAAUCCGGAGUUUUGUGAAAAGUGUUGAAAGUGAGAUAAUUUGGUUGCAGUGAGAGCAGAAGAGAACCGAGUCGAAAAUAUGCUCUUAAAAAGAUGUGCCUGGCUACAACUAUUUUGCAGCCUUCCAAUUGAGUCCGAUGAACACAAUAUUGGGCAUGGGCUACUGGUCACGACUGCCAUGUGAUGAUAUAGCUGAAACUUGCUCAUUGCACCGUUUUGGAGCAAGACGGAAGAAAACUGAAGCAAUUUCUUAAAUUAGCGAAAUAGAUCCCACAAGUAUGUAUACGCUGUGGUAGAUAAUACGAGGUCAACAAUACGUUUGAACUUCUGAGUAAGUUGGUGUUAAGCACAAAUGAAGCACAAUUAUAUGGUCGUGCAAGGCUCUGAAGCAACUCAUUGUCAUCAUACAUUGAUGCAGAUGCAGUAAAUAUUCAGUAAUGUCUGUCGACCUCAGUUAAACUUUUACACAAGUAUAUUUGUUUGUCAUCGUUCACAUCACUAAGCCAAACAAAAACAACACAUUGCCAAUCUAAAGAGCUGUUUUACACGGUACUUAUAAUAUUGGCAAAAUAUAUUGAUUUAAUAUUUCAGAGAUACGAACACAGUCGAAUGUCCCUGUGCGUAUUAUAAUUUAUUUUUUUUUACAAACUAAUAUAAUCAACUAAUAUAUCAACGAUAAUGCAUUGCUUAACAUAAAAAAAUUAAGAAGCUGUUGGAUUUCAACGCAUAUAUUGUUCCUGUCACAUACAACUGGAUCACAUAUUUUAUAUAAACUAUUAAAGUCAUCUAAACUACUAAAUUAUCUUCAAAAUGUCAAUCAAAUAUUCUAAGCUUCAUAGGAAGUACAAAUUCUGUGAAGGAGAAGUUCUACAUUUGACGAAAUUUCGUUAAUUUUACUACUCAGUUUUUUCGAGUAAAGCCGUAUGGUUCGAUCCUGUAUAUUUCUUUAAAACAAAGUUCCUUUUUCUAUCUGAAUUUAUGCGAAAACAGAAAUAAUAGAAGGUAAUUACAAAUGAAUACAUGCUUGAAAUCGUUUGUCUAGUUCUAGCAAUGAAACGAAAAGUCAAUUCUGUGGAUAAAAAAAAGUACAAAUCAACUUAAAUGUUCAAGACACCUUUAGUUUAUUCCCCGGAAAUCAUGAUUCAUUAAAAAUGCGUAAGAGGUGCAGUUAUGCUUGCGAUUAAUAUUCUCUUUGUAGAUCUUAAAUGAUAAUAUUAACCUUCAAAAAAAUAACUAACUUCAUAAAAAUGAGCAAAAACGCAUUUCCGAAGAACUGUUUUUAAGCAUCAAGAACUGAGUCAUCUGGUAAAUUUUUGUAUAUUGCUGUGGAAAUUCCUUUCAUUCUAGAAUUUUACAACUUAAUUGAUACAUUUAUCAAUAAGCAAACAAACAAGAAACUAUUCAGCAGACCACUAAUUCCGCAUCCCGCAGCAUUAUUUUUAUUGUCAUAAUAUAUAUUUUUGUAUAUAUUCAUUAUUAGAAGCGACUGAUCUUCAACUAUAUCAAUCCAAUCGUCAAAGCUGAAUCAUAUCAUUCAGGAAUCUUUUUAUAUAAAUUAGGACAAGUUAAUUUUAAUAUUUUGCAGACAAUUAAGGAAGAAAGUGCUGAUUUUCACAAGUUGCAAAUUCAACUAUCAUUUAGCGGUCAGCUUUAUUAUCAUCAAUCUGAUUAGUAAGGAGAAAAUUAGUAUUAUGAUCCUUUUUGAAUAUUGCUGUUUCAUAUCGUUUUGGAUCCAUGGCCGUACCUUCUAACCUCAUAAACUUUAUAGGAAUUACAUCUUGGUAAAUUUCUUUAAAUUUCGUGAACGCUAUUCCUCUUUAGUUUUAGAAAUAUAUUGAACUACACCAUCGCAUCAAUAUGAAUGUUAAAAGCAUCUGUAAUUCGCAAUUGAUAGUGUGGAUUAAAUCUUGCAACUAUCUCGAACCAUUGAAUUGUUUAUGCCAAGUGAAGUUUAAAAUAACUACAAACUACAGUUUUCAUCGGAAGUUUUCAUCUUUCGUCUUCAGUUUUGGUAAAUUCUUUUCAAUUUCGUGAAGAAAAUUCUUCUUUAGUUUUAGCGAUGUGGUACAGUCGAUCGGUUCCUGUACAUAUCAAUAAGACCUUCAGAUGUAGAAGUUGACAUACAGUGAUGACAUUAACUGAUGAGUUUUUUUAAAUUUUCGUAACAAACUACCAACUUGCAAAUAUAAUAUUAUAUAUAUAUUUGAGAAAAAAAUACAUAUAAAUAGUUUUGCAGGCCCAACGCAUUGUUAUAAAAACCAAAAUCCAGUAUAUUUGGAAAAAGGAAUGUGGAACUUUUAAUGUUCAUUAAUCAAUAAACGAACGCCGUGGUAACUUCCUUUAAAAAUUUUUGCAGUACAUUCUUUAGUUGUAGCGAUAUGACGCAGUUGAACUGUACCUGUGCAUAUCAGAUGCAAACAUCGUAAAAAGACAACACCAUCUAUAAGUAACAAAAAUGGGAUACACCACUCAAAUGAAGAAAAUCCAUCUGAGCUGAGGUCCAUUUUGCAAACAUUUUCCAUUGAGAUUCCUGCUUUUAAUGCGGAUUCCUUCAUUUGACAUGUUUCGGUAAAUCAUGUUUAUUUCGUGUCGAUUAUAUUCUUUAGUUUUAGCCAUAUAUGGGACAUAUUCACCAUUAUUGUGCACCAUCUAUUGAAAGCUUAUUUGAAGAAAUAGAUUCAACUAAAUGAGAAAGUAUAACUACUGAUGAAAUACUAAAACCGUAUGUAAUUUUGUUGGCCAACCCAUAACAAACACAACCCAAUAUUUUAUUUAUUAUAUUGUGAAAAACGUAAUCCACAAAAAUUUUACAGGAAAUUGUUUGAUUCAAUAUUCUAUGACAACCUCUUCGCUUUUCUGUGCACUUGAUAAUUCCUACAAACUUCGUACAGAUUACUUUAUUUUUUAGCUUUAGCGAUAUGUUACAGUUGAUCGGUUCCAGUCAGCAAUUAGCAACUCCUAAAUGAUGCAAAUUUUGCUGAUAAAAAUCUUUGAAUACCAUCAAUCGAUAGAUACGACGAAUCAGAAUCAGAGCUUCGGUAAUUUCCUUCAAAUAUCCUGAUUAUUCUUUAGUUUUAGUAAUACGAUCUGCGCGGUUCCUGUGCCUGCCUGUCGGUGGAAGUCAAGUCUUCAUAUACUGACGAUAAUAAAUGAUGAAAUAACGAAAGAAUAUACACUUACGGAUAUUUUCGGAUCCUAUUUGUACUUCUGCUAUUCUUAAAUUAGUUAUUGCGAAUACAACUGGUCUAUGCAUUCGGUAAAUACAACCCCGCAUUUCCUGAUGAAUGUUGUUAUUUAGUUUUAGCGAUAUGAUGCAGUCCAUCCAGUUCCAUG